UACGUAGGGGGCUAGCGUUGCUCGGAAUCACUGGGCGUAAAGCGCACGUAGGCGGAUUGCUAAGUCAGGGGUGAAAUCCUGGAGCUCAACUCCAGAACUGCCUUUGAUACUGGCGAUCUCGAGUCCGGGAGAGGUGAGUGGAACUGCGAGUGUAGAGGUGAAAUUCGUAGAUAUUCGCAAGAACACCAGUGGCGAAGGCGGCUCACUGGCCCGGAACUGACGCUGAGACGCGAAAGCGUGGGGAGCAAACAGG
rnacentral:rRNA from 1 species